CUUCUCCCCACGACUGCAGCCCCGAUUACAGCGAUCGCGACGGUGGAUCGGGGGAGGCCGCCCCACCGGCUGAGCUCCUAUCCACGCCAACAUCCUACCCCGCGAGAAGCCGGCCCUCUUCUCCCCCCAAUUGCAGCGACCGGCUACGGAAGAUUGGAGCAGGCCGCCCCACCGCAGCACCGCCGAACAUAGAUCUGCCGCAUCAACCCGCCCUGCGAGCACCCGACUCUCUUCUCCCCUGCGAUCGGCGACGUGUCUCUGUGAUUUCCUCAUCCCGCCACCCCUUGAUGUUCAAUGGUUCCACUAUAUCCUGCUUCACACUUACAGAAUGAAAACUGAUGGUGAGAAUAUCAGAUUACUAAAAUCAUGCCACCAGUUCUGGAGACUGAGAGGGCAAGCAGGGCAUAUCUUGCGGAACGGAAAAUAAAGGGUGAGGCGUAUUUGAAAGAAAGGGGAGGAAGGAAAGGAGAUGAAGAGGAGGCCGCUCUUCCUAUGUCGAAAGCAAUGGCACCUGAAGGUCUCGGAGCUCUUCUUCAUCAGUAGAAAUCCGAGUUCUAGAAGAAAGAAUUGAAUAGAAGGAUAGAGAGGCAAAAGAUGCAAAUGCUAGGCACAAGGACGAGUUACCCGUGAGACUUGAAGCACAAGACAUAGCAUUUGAAGAGAUGUAGAGGAAAGCAUCAAGAAGAAUUGGAAGUUGUGAAGAAGAGCCAACAAGAGAAGAAUGAAGCUUGGGAAAAGAAGCAACAUGAGACGGAUAACCUGAUUGGUAUUCUCUGAAGUGCUCAAGCAACUCAGCAAGCAAGUUAGCCCAAACUUGAUGGUGCAUGAAGGCCAUCCUUUUGUGAUAGAAAGAUAGUUGCUGAAUCAUACAUUGCAAUAAUUAGGACAACACAUGUGAUCUUUCAGUUAUGAAAAUAUUACUUUUAUCUUGUCUAUUGUCGUGUCAAACUUGAGUCAGUGUUAUUUUUAUUAUCACUUCUACUUGGUGGAUGAUUUGGCUGAGACGAUUGAAUGUAUAAUAUGAUUUGUCUUUCAUUUCAA